AAGUUAUUGGUUUUUACAACUACCUUUCAUUCGUCGACUCCAUGGGUCAACUCAAAAUACCCGAAAAUCGUCAAAAAUCGCGGUUUUGGUCAAAUCUGACUUUUAGCUAAUAACACGUCAUUCCAACCCCAAAUUUGACAAGGAUCACGAAAAUCAUACUCGUUUUGUUAUGGGAUCCCUAUUUUCGGAGAUAUUGGCUACUUCUGGUUACUUCCGGAAAAUUUUCGUGGACAUCUGAAAAAAGUAAAAAAUGAGCUGUAUUGUUCUAACAAUUUCAAGUACUUUUUUCGCAGGCGUUAGGGUGUGAUAACUAUUAUUCCGUGUUUUUCUUAUUUUCAACACUGCACAGGCUGAUCCUAUGAGCUACGACAAUUUUACCAACAAAUGUUUAGCGUUUCGUGCUGCAACUAGUAGUUGUUGAUAUUCCAGGAUUUUGCCUAAAAUUGGAAUUCAGCUAUCAGAGAUUAGAAAAAAAAUUCAAGCACUUAAAAGUGGAACUCUAGAUGGCGUUCAUGUGCGUCUGUGAUGAAGAUUACGAGUGACAAGUUAAAUGGGUGUUUUUUACGUUACCCUGUUUAGUGUUUCAAAGGAUUUUUCAUCAAAAAAUUUACGAUUGCUUUUUGUAUGUGGUGGUGUUUCGCCUUGUCAGCUAUGCCAGCUGCUGAACCAGCAUCCUGCAUUCCUGCUAUCAAUGUACCACAAGAGAUCCUGACACUUUAAGAAGGCCACUGUUCCUAACAUGAAGAAUACAAUCAAUCGACCACAGAGUCUUCAUCUACUUUGUGUUGCUAAUCAUCAGCCCUCAGCAUCCCAGAACAUUACUUAUCUUCACUACACACAUCAUCUGCAUCAAUUUUAUCUACACAGGCUUCUCUUCAUCUCUUCUUAUUUUUUCGAAUGCCAACAUGGAAUAAGGUUCAUCUUCAUUGUCUUACCAUGAAAAUUGCCAGUGUUAAUCCUGCUGUUCUUCUCACCGUUACUUUGCCAGCUAACAUGUAAUAGGAAAUAUUCAUCUUUUUUCGGUACAACACUGCCGUUUCGACAAUUUCGGUAGUUUCACCCCCAGUGGACCAAACGCAACUACAUUUUUUUCGUCUACCUGUCGUUUUUGUCUACGCCUUCACCUCAUCGCUCUCUUCGUCUACUUCCUCACAUCAUCACUGUCUUCGUCGAUGUCUUCGCCUUCAUCUCCGUCUUGGCCGUCUUUGUCUACGCCAUCACCUUGUCGCCGUAUUUGUCUACGGCAUCAACUCGUCGCCGGCUUCGGCUUCGCCUUCGCCCUUCACGUAGGGAGUUCACCGUGGAUCGCCAUGCUGGUAUUCCAUUAUUUUGCAUUGUAAUGUUUAAGUUAACCCGUUGGCUGCCACCCCGUUUGCGUCCCAUUUUUUUUGUAGCUUGUAGGGACCGGGCGCUGUUUUGCCCCAUGGCCAUGGGGGGAACAGUCGCCGCGCCUAAAGGCUUUGUGCCUUUAGGCGCCGUAGGCAAUGCACCAGUAGGGACUCUCUUUGUCGGUGCGAUGAUAGAUUCCUGGGGUGUGCAUUCCCGGAAUGGAAUCUAUUACCGUGUCAGCCCGGACUUGUCUUCGGACAAGUCCCCCCUUGUUCGUGGAUCCAUCUGACGCGAAGCGUAGUAACCGUAGUUUAGCAACCUAAGGGUUGCAUGGCCUGGCAGCCAAUGGGUUAACUUAGUAAUGUGUUGUAUGUAUGUAUGUAUGAAUGUAUGUAUAUGUAUUUUGUAUUAUAUAAAACG
rnacentral:lncRNA from 1 species